UGAGGGAAUAUUUGGGGUCAAUGGGCGAGAGCCUGAACCAGCCAAGUCGCGUGAGGGACGAAGGCCCUACGGGUUGUAAACCUCUUUUAUAAGGGAAUAAAGGACAUCACGUGUGGUGUUUUGCAUGUACCUUAUGAAUAAGCAUCGGCUAACUCCGUGCCAGCAGCCGCGGUAAUACGGAGGAUGCGAGCGUUAUCCGGAUUCAUUGGGUUUAAAGGGUGCGUAGGUGGCUUGUUAAGUCAGCGGUGAAGGUCAGUGGCUCAACCAUUGAAUUGCCGUUGAAACUGGCGAGCUUGAGUACGUACGGGGCAGGCGGAAUGCGUGGUGUAGCGGUGAAAUGCAUAGAUAUCACGCAGAACCCGAUCGCGAAGGCAGCCUGCCAGGCCGUGACUGACACUGAUGCACGAAAGCGUGGGUAUCGAACAGGAUUAGAUACCCUGGUAGU
rnacentral:rRNA from 1 species